UACGAAGGGGGCUAGCGUUGUUCGGAAUCACUGGGCGUAAAGCGCACGUAGGCGGAUCUUUAAGUCAGGGGUGAAAUCCCGAGGCUCAACCUCGGAACUGCCUUUGAUACUGGGGAUCUCGAGUCCGGGAGAGGUGAGUGGAACUGCGAGUGUAGAGGUGAAAUUCGUAGGUAUUCGGAAGAACACCAGUGGCGAAGGCGACUCAUUGGACAUGUAUUGACGCUGAGGUGCGAAAGCGUGGGGAGCAAACAGG
rnacentral:rRNA from 1 species